rnacentral:lncRNA from 1 species
AGUCAUCUGGAUGAGCUCCAUUCACCUGGCUUUUAGAAGCGUGAUAGAGUCACAUGGUUGGCAAAAGCUUCUAAAGUUACCAAUACGGCGCUUGUGUCCUGACUGCUUCUGGAGGAGGUAGCCUGCCACUCUCCUGACCUGGCCAGUUACAAUACCCCAAGCCAAACCCAGUGCCCACCCCAAGCGGGACCAGUGAAUGGAAUUCAAUGGGCUCAUGGCAGACACAGCAUGGCCGCAUCUGGGAGAGGAGGAAUACUCACGACUGUUGGAGUCAUCUGGAUUUCUCCUCUAACUGCCUGGUGCCCUGGUUAUUUGUGUGGUUACCUGGUACCUAGUGAGGAGACAUACACAGGUGAGACAACUUAUAGCUUUUUAUAGUUAUUGAUACAAAACUGUAGGUAUUUAUAGUUUGCUAUUUUCUUUCUAGAUAUUUUAUGAGUUUCUGAAGGGCAGAGGCUAAGUUCUAAAAACUGAAUCUUUAGAUUCCACAUGUAAUUGAUAUCAUAUUGUAUUUGUCUUCGUCUGACUUCACGUAGUAUGAUAACAUCUAAGUCCAUCUAUUUGCCACAGAUGACUUCAUUUCAUUCUUUUUGAUGACUGAGUAAUAUUCCAUUAUAUAUAUGUAUACGUGUAAACAUUAUUUAUCCAUAUAUAUGUUUAUAUGGCUAAAUAAAAGCAUAUGUAGAGUUCCUUGGUGGCCUAGUGGCUAAGAUGCUGGGCUUUCACUACCAUGGCCCAGGUUCAAUCCCUGGUUGGGGAACUGAGACCCCACAAGUUGAGCAGUGUGGCCAAAAAAAGAGAUACAAAUGAACUUAUUUCUGAAACAGAAAUAGACCCACCAAUAUAGAAAAUAGUCUAUAUAUAAAAUAGAUAACCAACAGGGAACUAUACUCAAUAUUCUAUAAACCCUAUAAGGGAAAAGAAUCUGAAAAAGAAUGUAUAUAUGAAUCAUCGUGCUGUACACCUGAAACUAAUAAGAUAUUGUAAGUCAACUAUAUUUGAGCAAAAUAAAAAACUGAACCUUGUUGGUACCCCUCACACCUGGCACAGCAUCCUCAGAGC